AGGGGGGAAAGGGAGAGGAAAGCAGAGGGAGCUCAGAACUGAUAAAUUCAGAUUUGUGUGUUUCACUCAGCCUGAAAACACCAGUGAGUCACUUAUGGGUCUAGUAGUCAGAAAGACAGUCUCCUGCUGGCUUUGAUGAAAAAAGCAACCAAGAAUGAGUUCCACAGCUGCAAGGAAGUGAAUUCUACCAACAACCACCGGAGCAUGGAAGAGAACCCUGAGGCUUAUAUGAAACUGCAGCCCCUGUCAAAACUGAAUACAGCCUUACAAGACCCUGAGAAGAGAACUAAGUUCUUUCUGCAUUCCUGACCCACAAAAACUCCAAGAUAAUAAAACGGGCAUCAAGCCACAAA